CAAUUCGACGAACAAAUGGUCAGGUUCCAGGUAGCUGAAAACCCGCGGACCGCUGUGCCGCACUAUAUGCAUAUAUAUACAACUGUAAAUAUAAAUCACGAACACGCAGCUAAAUAUAAAUCACCGUAAAUAAACUAUUAGUAUUUAAUUGAUUCAUCGUAUCAUUGAAAGUCCUUGGACAUCUUCAAGUAUUCUAUAUUGGAAACAUUUGACUAACAAGGAACAUUUUAACCAAAAUUAUAUUGACUCAAGUUUGCUAAAAAUGGUAGUUCACAAACUAUCAGUUACAUCGUUUCGGAAACCACAAGUAAUAACAGUAACUUCGCAACAGCAACUAGUAUCAACCAAUAUUAGCAGUCAAAAAGUUGAUUUUAGUUGCUCAAUAUCAACUUCUAAAAAAAAACUUUGUAGCAAUUGUAUGAAAAGGGGCCCUAUUCAGUGGAGGAGAACUAAAUAUGGCCAUAAUCGUCAGAAUAAUAAUAAAAAUAAACUACUGUAUGCUUUGAUCGAACUACAUAAUCAUUAUAUUCAUGUUAUUAGUUUUCUUAAUAAAAUGAUGACAUUGCUGACUUUGAGUCAACAACAACUUGGUAAGGUAAAAUGACAAGCAUUACAACAACUAUUGAUUAUAUAUAUUGUUUUUUUAAAUUGUUUUAUAAUUUGGCAAUUA
rnacentral:lncRNA from 1 species